rnacentral:rRNA from 1 species
UGGGGAAUUUUGGACAAUGGGGGCAACCCUGAUCCAGCCAUGCCGCGUGAGUGAAGAAGGCCUUCGGGUUGUAAAGCUCUUUCGGCGGGGACGAAACGGUCCGUGACAACACCACGGACUAAUGACGGUACUCGCAGAAGAAGCACCGGCUAACUACGUGCCAGCAGCCGCGGUAAUACGUAGGGUGCAGGCGUUAAUCGGAAUUACUGGGCGUAAAGCGUGCGCAGGCGGCUCCUUAAGUCAGAUGUGAAAUCCCCGGGCUUAACCUGGGAACUGCGUUUGAAACUGAGGGGCUAGAGUGUGGAAGAGGGGGGUGGAAUUCCAGGUGUAGCAGUGAAAUGCGUAGAGAUCUGGAGGAACACCGAUGGCGAAGGCAGCCCCCUGGGCUAACACUGACGCUCAUGCACGAAAGCGUGGGGAGCAAACAGGAUUAGAUACCCAAGUAGUCCCUGAGCGGGCUGGCAAGGCGCAU